UACGUAGGGGGCAAGCGUUGUCCGGAUUUAUUGGGCGUAAAGCGCGCGCAGGCGGUCCUUUAAGUCUGAUGUGAAAUCUUGCGGCUCAACCGCAAGCGGUCAUUGGAAACUGGGGGGCUUGAGUACAGAAGAGGAAAGCGGAAUUCCACGUGUAGCGGUGAAAUGCGUAGAGAUGUGGAGGAACACCAGUAGCGAAGGCGGCUUUCUGGUCUGUAACUGACGCUGAGGCGCGAAAGCGUGGGGAGCAAACAGG
rnacentral:rRNA from 1 species